rnacentral:rRNA from 1 species
UACAGAGGGGGCAAGCGUUAUUCGGAAUUAUUGGGCGUAAAGGGCGCGUAGGCGGCCUUUCAAGUGACGGGUGAAAUCCCUCGGCUUAACCGAGGAACUGCCUGUCAGACUGGAAGGCUUGAGACCGGGAGAGGUGAGUGGAAUUCCCAGUGUAGCGGUGAAAUGCGUAGAUAUCUGGAGGAACACCGGUGGCGAAGGCGGGUCUCUGGGCCGAUACUGACGCUGAGGAGCGAAAGCGUGGGGAGCGAACAGG